GUAGAGGCUCAGUGGCAGAGUGCUUGCUUGGCAUGUCUGAGGCCCUGGGUUCAAUCCUCAGCACCACA
rnacentral:tRNA from 1 species